UCUGGGAGAAUCCAGAUAAAUCUGGAAGGUUGGCACCCCUGAGAGUAACUGAGGAACAAAUUCCAACACAAGCAAGUUUUGUUGCAAACGUUUUUUUAUGUCUGCUGCUAGAGUUCCGGCCUAUGACAAGUAUUUUCAUAAUAAACCGACGGCCUCCUUUUUGGCAUAAUGUGGAAAAAGAGCACCGAUUAUGAAAAGGCUCAAGUGAGCGAAAAAUGUAUGUCAACAUAUCAAUUAACAUUGAUAAUGGGAAACCAUCCAACAGUCUCCAUGCAGUACGUCACAUAUCAAUCGUCGUAUUUAUUCUUAAACAGGAAUGCGCACUUAUGACAAACAAACCUUUUUAAGACCUAUGUGCAUAUCGUUGCAAAUGGUUAUUAUUAAGUAUUACAAUAUCCUUUCUAUUCUUCAGCAGUAGGCCGUACGCUCAAAAAUGUUAAUGCAGGUUUAAUCAGUGCAGUUACCGUUUCACGUAAAUACCAACAAGCGCAUUCGUAUUGUGAGGAUAAAAGUAAUCUACGCGCUCGACACCUUCAUAGAAAAGGAUGCCUGUAUAUGAAGCGUACUAUGAAACAUCUGGUUACGUCACGAGGAGUGGACAUUCGGUUGUGAUUCCUAUAGUAAGACUUUCGACUUGGUUUCUGGUAGUAGCGGUUUUCACCUGUUACAUAUUGUCAUGAUAUAAAACGCAUACGUUUUGAAAAUUUAAGUCCUAAAAAGAGUUUUCAUAAAUUGAGCCACUGUAAUAUAAUUACGUAUAAAUGGAUUAAAAAU